GUGGGGAAUAUUGGACAAUGGGCGGAAGCCUGAUCCAGCAACGCCGCGUGAGGGAUGACGGCCUUCGGGUUGUAAACCUCUUUCACCCAUGACGAAGCGUGAGUGACGGUAGUGGGAGAAGAAGCACCGGCCAACUACGUGCCAGCAGCCGCGGUAAUACGUAGGGUGCGAGCGUUGUCCGGAAUUAUUGGGCGUAAAGGGCUCGUAGGCGGUUUGUCGCGUCGGGAGUGAAAACACACAGCUUAACUGUGUGCUUGCUUUCGAUACGGGCAGACUUGAGGCAUGCAGGGGAGAACGGAAUUUCUGGUGUAGCGGUGAAAUGCGCAGAUAUCAGAAGGAACACCGGUGGCGAAGGCGGUUCUCUGGGCAUGUUCUGACGCUGAGGAGCGAAAGUGUGGGGAGCGAACAGGAUUAGAAACCCCUGUAGUCC
rnacentral:rRNA from 1 species